rnacentral:tRNA from 1 species
UAUAUAUUAGUUUAUUUCUUAAAAUUUAUUCCUUCUAAGUAUAAGAUUUCAGUAUUUGAAAUAUAUAA